UACGGAGGAUCCGAGCGUUAUCCGGAUUUAUUGGGUUUAAAGGGAGCGUAGGUGGAUUGUUAAGUCAGUUGUGAAAGUUUGCGGCUCAACCGUAAAAUUGCAGUUGAAACUGGCAGUCUUGAGUACAGUAGAGGUGGGCGGAAUUUGUGGUGUAGCGGUGAAAUGCUUAGAUAUCACGAAGAACUCCGAUUGCGAAGGCAGCUCACUGGACUGCAACUGACACUGAGGCUCGAAAGUGUGGGUAUCAAACAGG
rnacentral:rRNA from 1 species